ACUUUCCCUCCCCCUUAUUUACCUCCCACCCCCGGUUACCCUUUGACUGAAAAUUGGAACGCCCUAAUCUUUUGCCCCUCCUCCCUCCGCCUCUCUCUCUCCUCACGCCUCCCCAAUUGAAAACUCCAUAGCUCCCAAACGCAACUCCACAGCUCCUCCAAAGCUCCCUAAUGCAGAGUCUCAGACGCCUUUCAUCUCUUCCUCCUCUGCUCCUCUAAACAAUGGUGGAAACCUCCACAGCUCCUGCACCUCUUGAACUCCACAACCCCUAAGCCCUAAUCUUUUGCCAACAACGAGGUCUAUUUCUUUUAAGAGUUGAAAAAUGGUUGAAGAAGACCAUAAAGCUGCUGCUAAGCAUCCUUAUAAUGGAUGGAACAUUUGUUGACAGUUGGGGAGACAAAGAAUGAUAGAUGUCUCUUUUAGUUGGGUUUAAAGUGCAAAUGCUGUCUUUUUUGAUAUACGGCUCAUGUUAACAUUAAACUUGACGUGCUAUGUAAACAGUUAAUGGCUCAUGUAAAUUGAUAUGGCUCAUGUAAACAUUAAUUGGCAUAUACUGCCUUUUUGUAUGGUUCAUGGAGACAAACAAUGAUAGAUGGCUCUUGUUGUUCGAUCAAA